CUCGCAUGGACGAAGGUCUUAUCAAAGUGCUCUAUUCUUAAAAUUGGCCUUGUCUCAAGUAGGUUGCUGGACCUGCAAAGGUCCCUUUUGAUCUGCAUUAUUGGUAGUUACAAGGCUGUUCACAAGGCCGUGGAGAUUGGAAUGGUUUGGAAGCUGUUUGAUCUGCUGAGAGGAACUCACACUUGGGAUAGGGUACUACAAACAAAGGACGGAUUGGGAUCAGUUUGGGGCAGUUCAGAUAUUCCAGAAUUACUGGAGGAAACAGGGUCAUAUUUAUGCAUUGUUAUGAAGAAGUCUCUCCGGACCAGUGGGAUCAACUCUUUUCACAAUAAGGAACUGACAAAACAGAGAUUGUCUGGUAGAAAUGUGCACAAUCUCUUCUCUUGUGCCAAGGAAAUCCUCUUACCAGGUUGUGUUAAAGGCAGGCUCUUGGCAUCCUCAAAGCCUUGUGCGAAGCUCCAGUGAUCUCCAGCCACAACACUGCUGAGCAGCCAAGAGGUAUUUGUCUGACCAGGACUCCAG
rnacentral:lncRNA from 1 species